rfam:Myotis davidii contig90487, whole genome shotgun sequence.
GGCGGUUCUCAGGUGAUACACCCGGGAAUCAGGCUCCCUCCUCUCUGUUUCUGGGCAAAUCACCUGAGAACCGCA